UGUGAAUGAUGACAAGUCUUUACCUGAUUACUAUGAGGGUGAACUGAUUUAAUGAGCCUGAUGC